AACGCUAGCUACAGGCUUAACACAUGCAAGUCGAGGGGCAGCAUUAGGUAGCAAUACUGAGAUGGCGACCGGCGCACGGGUGCGUAACGCGUAUCCAACCUUCCCGUUACUCUCGGAUAGCCUUCCGAAAGGGAGAUUAAUACGAGAUGGUGUUUGAAUUCCGCAUGUUAUUCAAACUAAAGAUUUAUCGGUAUCGGAUGGGGAUGCGUGACAUUAGAUAGUAGGCGGGGUAACGGCCCACCUAGCCGACGAUGGAUAGGGGUUCUGAGAGGAAGGUCCCCCACACUGGAACUGAGACACGGUCCAGACUCCUACGGGAGGCAGCAGUGAGGAAUAUUGGUCAAUGGGCGCAAGCCUGAACCAGCCAAGUAGCGUGAAGGAUGACUGCCCUAUGGGUUGUAAACUUCUUUUAUACGGGAACAAACUCCGGUACGUGUACCGGUCUGCGUGUACCGUAUGAAUAAGCAUCGGCUAACUCCGUGCCAGCAGCCGCGGUAAUACGGAAGGUCCGAGCGUUAUCCGGAUUUAUUGGGUUUAAAGGGAGCGUAGGCGGGCUGUUAAGCCAGCCGUCAAAUUGCGGGGCUCAACCCCGUAUCGCGGUUGGAACUGGCGGCCUUGAGUGGGCAAGAGGCGCGUGGAAUUCGUGGUGUAGCGGUGAAAUGCAUAGAUAUCACGAGGAACUCCGAUUGCGAAGGCAGCGCGCUGGGGCCUUACUGCCGCUGAUGCUCGAAGGCGCGGGUAUCAAACAGGAUUAGAUACCCUGGUAGUCCGCGCGGUAAACUAUGGACGCUCGCGGUGCGGGUCUUAGACUUACGCCGCCUAGCGAAAGCGUUAAGCGUCCCACCUGGGGAGUACGCCGGCAACGGUGAAACUCAAAGGAAUUGACGGGGGCCCGCACAAGCGGAGGAACAUGUGGUUUAAUUCGAUGAUACGCGAGGAACCUUACCCGGGCUUGAAAUGUGCAUGACAGGAAGCAGAGACGCUUCCCUCCUUCGGGCAUGCAUGUAGGUGCUGCAUGGUUGUCGUCAGCUCGUGCCGUGAGGUGUCGGCUUAAGUGC
rnacentral:rRNA from 1 species